rnacentral:rRNA from 1 species
UACGUAGGGGGCAAGCGUUGUCCGGAAUCAUUGGGCGUAAAGAGCUCGUAGGCGGUUCGGUAAGUCGAAUGUGAAAUCUCCACGCUCAACGUGGAGGGGUCAUUCGAAACUGCCGUGACUUGAGUACGGUAGGGGAGUGUGGAAUUCCUGGUGUAGCGGUGAAAUGCGUAGAUAUCAGGAGGAACACCUGCGGUGUAGACGGCUUACUGGACCAUAACUGACGCUGAGGCACGAAAGCGUGGGUAGCAAACAGG